AAAUCGUAAUAUAUUUACAAGUGUAAAAAUUAAGUAAAAAAAAAUUCUUACAAAAUUUUUUUAAAAAAGUGUCUAUUGUGCUUUAAAAAUAGCACGGAUCGUAUAUUUCGAAUUCGAAGUAAAUGUAUUAGAACUGAAAUAUCGAUCCUUAAUAUCGGCAAUAUUAAUCAAAAUAUAACAAUAAUAUUCAAAAAUAUAUUUUUAACAAUAAAAGUAUUCAGAAAUAAAUUUGAAAAGAUUUUGAAAAAAAAUUACAAGAUCGUAGAUAAAAAGCGAUGAUAAUUUAAUAUUAAUAUAUCGAUAUUUUUCAAUCGAUAUAUUAUAUCUUUUAAGUAAUUAUAUACAAAAUAUUUACAUAUUCUCCAAAGUAUUAAUUACAUUUUUUUUCAAAGAAGUAAUUUUUUUUCAUGUAAAAUUUACAUUUAUACUUUAAAAUUGGUACGCAUUCAAAUCUAACACCAAAAUUAAUAAUCGAUUAAUAUUUUAUAACAAUAUUGCAAUAUUAUUUAAACGAUAUAUUUAAAUUCAUAUAUUGUUAUUGAUAUUACACUAUUUUUGUAUAAAUCAAAAUAUCAAUAAUUUUUUUUUUAAUCAGAAUAAAAAUUUUUAAAAGUCCAUAGAGAAUAUAAAUAUUCCAAAAAAAUAAUUGAAUAUAUUAUUUUAAUUGACGAUAGGUGUCCAAUGUUUAAAAGAAACCAUUUUAAGAAAAGAGUCUAUUAUCAAUUGAGUAGUAGUAGUGGUAGUAGUUUUACUUAUCAAAUGAAAAAUAGUAGUUAGAAUACUCAAACAUACUAAUUCUAACAAUCAUUAGAUAAGAAGACAGGAAUGAAUAAUUAAAAAUGAUGAAAUAUAAUAAAUGAAGUGAAUAAAAAUUUUAAUAAAUUUAAAAAAAAAAUUAUGAUAAGGUGUUUUUCCUAAGUCAACUUAUACCAAUAAGUAUAAUAGUGAUGAGAUAAUGAUUAAACAUUAAUGUUAUGAGGUUAAUUUAUAAAGUAGUUAUCAUUAUUAUUAUGAAUGAAAAUUUGUAAAAUAUAAUAAAAAAAAUUUUAUUAUUGGUGUUUUUCCUAAUUCAUCACAUAACAACAAGUGAAUGUUUUUACUAAAACAAUCCUUUUUAUGAAAUGAGUAAAUAUUAGAUUCGUCACAUUGCAAAAUAUUUUCAAUGUGACACGUUCUACAGUGAUUUAAAAAAUUAUUAAUUCACUGAAUAGUCAAUAAAUUAAUUAAGCGGUCUAGAAGUGUCUCCGAUGCCGAAGCAAUCUUUUGUUUUAUCAAUUACAGAACUAAGCGGUCCUGAGGUUUCAGCGAUGCCAAAGCAAUCUUUUGUUUUAUUAAUUCCAGAAGUUAGCGGUCCUGAGGUUUCAGCGAUGCCAAAGCAAUCUUUUUUUUAUUAAUUUUAGAACUUAGCGGUCCUGAGGUUUCAGCGAUGCCAAAGCAAUCUUUUGUUUUAUUAAUUCCAGAACUUAGCGGUCCUGAGGUUUCAGCGAUGCCAAAGCAAUCUUUUGUUUUAUUAAUUCCAGAACUUAGCGGUCCUGAGGUUUCAGCGAUGCCAAAGCAAUCUUUUGUUUUAUUAAUUCCAGAACUUAGCGGUCCUGAGGUUUCAGCGAUGCCAAAGCAAUCUUUUGUUUUAUUAAUUCCAGAACUUAGCGGUCCUAAGGUUUCAGCGAUGCCAAAGCAAUCUUUUGUUUUAUUAAUUCCAGAACUUAGCGGUCCUGAGGUUUCAGCGAUGCCAAAGCAAUCUUUUGUUUUAUUAAUUCCAGAACUUAGCGGUCCUGAGGUUUCAGCGAUGCCAAAGCAAUCUUUUGUUUUAUUAAUUCCAGAACUUAGCAGUCCUGAGGUUUCAGCGAUGCCAAAGCAAUCUUUUGUUUUAUUAAUUCCAGAACUUAGCGGUCCUGAGGUUUCAGCGAUGCCAAAGCAAUCUUUUGUUUUAUUAAUUCCAGAACUUAGCGGUCCUGAGGUUUCAGCGAUGCCAAAGCAAUCUUUUUUUUAUUAAUUUUAGAACUUAGCGGUCCUGAGGUUUCAGCGAUGCCAAAGCAAUCUUUUUUUUUAUUAAUUUUAGAACUUAGCGGUCCUGAGGUUUCAGCGAUGCCAAAGCAAUCUUUUUUUUAUUAAUUUUAGAACUUAGCGGUCCUGAGGUUUCAGCGAUGCCAAAGCAAUCUUUUGUUUUAUUAAUUCCAGAACUUAGCGGUCCUGAGGUUUCAGCGAUGCCAAAGCAAUCUUUUGUUUUAUUAAUUCCAGAACUUAGCGGUCCUGAGGUUUCAGCGAUGCCAAAGCAAUCUUUUUUUUAUUAAUUUUAGAACUUAGCGGUCCUGAGGUUUCAGCGAUGCCAAAGCAAUCUUUUUUUUUAUUAAUUUUAGAACUUAGCGGUCCUGAGGUUUCAGCGAUGCCAAAGCAAUCUUUUUUUUAUUAAUUUUAGAACUUAGCGGUCCUGAGGUUUCAGCGAUGCCAAAGCAAUCUUUUGUUUUAUUAAUUCCAGAACUUAGCGGUCCUGAGGUUUCAGCGAUGCCAAAGCAAUCUUUUUUUUAUUAAUUUUAGAACUUAGCGGUCCUGAGGUUUCAGCGAUGCCAAAGCAAUCUUUUGUUUUAUUAAUUCCAGAACUUAGCGGUCCUGAGGUUUCAGCGAUGCCAAAGCAAUCUUUUGUUUUAUUAAUUCCAGAACUUAGCGGUCCUGAGGUUUCAGCGAUGCCAAAGCAAUCUUUUGUUUUAUUAAUUCCAGAACUUAGCGGUCCUGAGGUUUCAGCGAUGCCAAAGCAAUCUUUUGUUUUAUUAAUUCCAGAACUUAGCAGUCCUGAGGUUUCAGCGAUGCCAAAGCAAUCUUUUGUUUUAUUAAUUCCAGAACUUAGCGGUCCUGAGGUUUCAGCGAUGCCAAAGCAAUCUUUUGUUUUAUUAAUUCCAGAACUUAGCGGUCCUGAGGUUUCAGCGAUGCCAAAGCAAUCUUUUGUUUUAUUAAUUCCAGAACUUAGCGGUCCUGAGGUUUCAGCGAUGCCAAAGCAAUCUUUUUUUUAUUAAUUUUAGAACUUAGCGGUCCUGAGGUUUCAGCGAUGCCAAAGCAAUCUUUUGUUUUAUUAAUUCCAGAACUUAGCGGUCCAUUUUUAGCAACCAGCUUUGCUGCUGUGGUUGAUCAAGAACAAAUAGAAACUAUAAUAAUAUGAAAGACAGAAUAAACGAAUUCAUUGCCAAUAUGCAAAUUACGUCGAUGAAGGUAAUUCAGCUUUUCAUUACGCUGCUAUUGAAAAUUCUUUCAUUAAUUUUCAAUAUUUAUUUCAAAAAAAUUUAAUUAGGAAGUUGAACUUAAAACAAUGACGUCUAUAAUGUGUCUUAGAAAUUUUAUACAAUCUGACACAGCACAAGUCAACUGUAAUUUAAGGUAACUGCAGUUUUGACAAGGAUUACUUCACAUGCACUGAUGAACCAUACAUACUGAACAUGGAGAACAAUGCCAAAUUAUUGUCAUUUUUAUAUUAAAUCAAUAAAAGUUAAUCUCACAAUAAAUCAUCAAAUAUAAUAAUUAGCUCACGAUCUGCGCAGAAGUGCAAUCAAAAGACAGAAAUCAUUUAAGAGUGGAUUACUCUUUAAAGAUCUGCUUUGAUGUGAUUUAUAAAAUGAAAUGAAUUAAAUGAAAAUAUAUGAAAUUUUUUUUUUAAUAAUCUUUUAGAAUAGAAAAUUUUUGUUCCCGAUCUGUGCAGAAGUGCAAUUAAAAGGCAGAGAUCUUCGGUAGUGGAACAUUUUCGAAGAAUUUUAUCUCCUUUUAAGAUGAUAAUUAGAAUAGAUUAAUGUAUAAAUGAAACAUUAAGUUUUCAUGCAAUAUCAGCAUUUUAAGUAAAAAAUUUUUCAAAUUACAAUAAUUCUUGAAUUAUUCAAUUUGAAACAAAAAGCAAGUAGCCUCUAUUUCAACCCAAAAUAGAGGCUUUAUUAUUAAGUUUUUAUUUUUUUUUUAUUUUAAUAGUCUAAAGCAGGCCCCUAGGAUUUAGACCUUUAGGAAAUUAUUUAAACUUUGGACACCUUUUUUUAAAAAAUGAAAAUAGCAAUAUUUUUGAAUUUGAUAUAUAGCUUAUUACAUCGAUUUGAAAAAUGUUGAUAUUUUUAAAAAAUCAAUAUCAUAUAAAAUAAUCCAACAAUGUUAUAGUAUAAAUGUAAAUUAUGUAACUUAUUAAAUACAAUUAAUAACUGAUUACAAUUCUUAUCACAUUUUACGGCGUAAAAUUAUUUAACUAAAUAUUGUAUGAAAAAUCGAAGAAAGGAACAAAAACCCGUAAUGAAAUAAAAUUGGACAAAAUACAAAAGAGCGACUUAGUGAGGGCUCGAAGGGCAAGCGACCCGUAUUUUGUUUUUGUUAAUUUUCAUUAAAGUUUCUUUCAAAAAUUACCUAAGUUUAUAUGCUAAAAAAAAUCCAAAAUGGUUCUUUCGAGUAUUUGAUUCGAAAUUUUCUACUUUUUUUAUAGAAAAAAACCACAAUUUUUUUAUGCGAUUGACAAAAACAAAGUCAAUCAUCAGUAAUUGAUUUUCUUAAAAAAAAAUUUUUUUUUAAUUAUGAACGUCAUUUUUUUUU